UACUCCAUAAUUUAACGGUAGAAUAGUAUACUUCUAAUAUGACAAUAUAGGUUCGAUUCCUAUUGGAGUAU
rnacentral:tRNA from 1 species